rnacentral:rRNA from 1 species
UACGGAGGGGGCUAGCGUUGUUCGGAAUUACUGGGCGUAAAGCGCACGUAGGCGGCUUUGCAAGUUAAGAGGUGAAAGCCCCGGGGCUCAACUCCGGAAAUUGCCUUUAAAACUGCAUCGCUAGAAUUGUGGAGAGGUAAGUGGAAUUCCGAGUGUAGAGGUGAAAUUCGUAGAUAUUCGGAAGAACAUCAGUGGCGAAGGCGGCUUCCUGGACCGACCACUGACGCUGAGGCGCGAAAGCUAGGGGAGCAAACGGG